GAUGAACGCUAGCGGCAGGCUUAACACAUGCAAGUCGAGGGGCAGCGUGAGGGUUAGCAAUAACCCUUGACGGCGACCGGCGCAAGGGUGCGUAACGCGUGAGCAACUUGCCCUUAUCAGGGGGAUAACCGGUGGAAACGCCGACUAAUACCCCAUGGCAUUGAGUUGAGGCAUCUCUACUCAAUUAAAGAAUUUCGGAUAAGGAUAGGCUCGCGUGACAUUAGCUAGACGGCGGGGUAACGGCCCACCGUGGCUACGAUGUCUAGGGGUUCUGAGAGGAAGGUCCCCCACACUGGAACUGAGACACGGUCCAGACUCCUACGGGAGGCAGCAGUGAGGAAUAUUGGUCAAUGGUCUGACGACUGAACCAGCCAUGCCGCGUGAAGGUGG
rnacentral:rRNA from 1 species